rnacentral:rRNA from 1 species
GAGUUUGAUCUUGGCUCAGAUUGAACGCUGGCGGCAUGCCUUACACAUGCAAGUCGAACGGCAGCGCGGGGCAACCUGGCGGCGAGUGGCGAACGGGUGAGUAAUAUAUCGGAACGUACCCUGGAGUGGGGGAUAACGUAGCGAAAGUUACGCUAAUACCGCAUACGAUCUAAGGAUGAAAGUGGGGGACGCGCAAGCACCUCAUGCUCCUGGAGCGGCCGAUAUCUGAUUAGCUAGUUGGUGGGGUAAAGGCCUACCAAGGCAUCGAUCAGUAGCUGGUCUGAGAGGACGACCAGCCACACUGGAACUGAGACACGGUCCAGACUCCUACGGGAGGCAGCAGUGGGGAAUUUUGGACAAUGGGCGAAAGCCUGAUCCAGCAAUGCCGCGUGAGUGAAGAAGGCCUUC